GAUGAACGCUGGCGGCGUGCCUAAUACAUGCAAGUCGAGCGAACGGACGAGAAGCUUGCUUCUCUGAUGUUAGCGGCGGACGGGUGAGUAACACGUGGAUAACCUACCUAUAAGACUGGGAUAACUUCGGGAAACCGGAGCUAAUACCGGAUAAUAUUUUGAACCGCAUGGUUCAAAAGUGAAAGACGGUCUUGCUGUCACUUAUAGAUGGAUCCGCGCUGCAUUAGCUAGUUGGUAAGGUAACGGCUUACCAAGGCAACGAUGCAUAGCCGACCUGAGAGGGUGAUCGGCCACACUGGAACUGAGACACGGUCCAGACUCCUACGGGAGGCAGCAGUAGGGAAUCUUCCGCAAUGGGCGAAAGCCUGACGGAGCAACGCCGCGUGAGUGAUGAAGGUCUUCGGAUCGUAAAACUCUGUUAUUAGGGAAGAACAUAUGUGUAAGUAACUGUGCACAUCUUGACGGUACCUAAUCAGAAAGCCACGGCUAACUACGUGCCAGCAGCCGCGGUAAUACGUAGGUGGCAAGCGUUAUCCGGAAUUAUUGGGCGUAAAGCGCGCGUAGGCGGUUUUUUAAGUCUGAUGUGAAAGCCCACGGCUCAACCGUGGAGGGUCAUUGGAAACUGGAAAACUUGAGUGCAGAAGAGGAAAGUGGAAUUCCAUGUGUAGCGGUGAAAUGCGCAGAGAUAUGGAGGAACACCAGUGGCGAAGGCGACUUUCUGGUCUGUAACUGACGCUGAUGUGCGAAAGCGUGGGGAUCAAACAGGAUUAGAUACCCUGGUAGUCCACGCCGUAAACGAUGAGUGCUAAGUGUUAGGGGGUUUCCGCCCCUUAGUGCUGCAGCUAACGCAUUAAGCACUCCGCCUGGGGAGUACGACCGCAAGGUUGAAACUCAAAGGAAUUGACGGGGACCCGCACAAGCGGUGGAGCAUGUGGUUUAAUUCGAAGCAACGCGAAGAACCUUACCAAAUCUUGACAUCCUUUGACAACUCUAGAGAUAGAGCUUUCCCCUUCGGGGGACAAAGUGACAGGUGGUGCAUGGUUGUCGUCAGCUCGUGUCGUGAGAUGUUGGGUUAAGUCCCGCAACGAGCGCAACCCUUAAGCUUAGUUGCCAUCAUUAAGUUGGGCACUCUAAGUUGACUGCCGGUGACAAACCGGAGGAAGGUGGGGAUGACGUCAAAUCAUCAUGCCCCUUAUGAUUUGGGCUACACACGUGCUACAAUGGACAAUACAAAGGGCAGCGAAACCGCGAGGUCAAGCAAAUCCCAUAAAGUUGUUCUCAGUUCGGAUUGUAGUCUGCAACUCGACUACAUGAAGCUGGAAUUGCUAGUAAUCGUAGAUCAGCAUGCUACGGUGAAUACGUUCCCGGGUCU
rnacentral:rRNA from 1 species